GAACUUUCCAGAGAUGGAUUGGUGCCUUCGGGAACUGUGAGACAGGUGCUGCAUGGCUGUCGUCAGCUCGUGUUGUGAAAUGUUGGGUUAAGUCCCGCAACGAGCGCAACCCUUAUCCUUUGUUGCCAGCGGUCCGGCCGGGAACUCAAAGGAGACUGCCAGUGAUAAACUGGAGGAAGGUGGGGAUGACGUCAAGUCAUCAUGGCCCUUACGACCAGGGCUACACACGUGCUACAAUGGCGCAUACAAAGAGAAGCGACCUCGCGAGAGCAAGCGGACCUCAUAAAGUGCGUCGUAGUCCGGAUUGGAGUCUGCAACUCGACUCCAUGAAGUCGGAAUCGCUAGUAAUCGUGGAUCAGAAUGCCACGGUGAAUACGUUCCCGGGCCUUGUACACACCGCCCGUCACACCAUGGGAGUGGGUUGCAAAAGAAGUAGGUAGCUUAACCUUCGGGAGGGCGCUUACCACUUUGUGAUUCAUGACUGGGGUGAAGUCGUAACAAGGUAACCGUAGGGGAACCUGCGGUUGGAUCACCUCCUUACCUGAAAGAA
rnacentral:rRNA from 1 species